rnacentral:rRNA from 1 species
AACAAACGCUGGCGGCGUGCCUAACACAUGCAAGUCGUACGAGAAAGUCCGCUUCGGUGGAUGAGUAAAGUGGCGCACGGGUGAGUAACACGUGGAUAAUCUACCCUUCAGUUUGGAAUAACGUACCGAAAGGUGCGCUAAUACCGGAUAAUAUCUCGAAUGCGCAGGCAUACGAGAUCAAAGAUGGCCUCUGCUUGCAAGCUAUCGCCGAAGGAUGAGUCCGCGUACCAUUAGCUAGUUGGCAGGGUAAUGGCCUACCAAGGCAACGAUGGUUAGCUGGUCUGAGAGGAUGAUCAGCCACACUGGAACUGAGACACGGUCCAGACUCCUACGGGAGGCAGCAGUGAGGAAUAUUGCGCAAUGGGGGCAACCCUGACGCAGCAACGCCGCGUGAGUGAGGAAGGUUUUCGGACCGUAAAGCUCUGUCGAGCGGGAAGAAAUGUUUAUUGGUUAAUAUCCAGUAAGCUUGACGGUACCGCUAAAGG